rnacentral:rRNA from 1 species
AUGUCCUCUUGUCGGUGUGUAUUUCUCUUAUUUGUCAUUUUACUAGGAGACUGGUCGUGUGAACCGAUAGGGUCGAUGGCACAUCAAUCAUACACUACCCUCGCCGGUGCAGAAUGUUUCUUCAUUUUUUUGGGUGACUAUGCUGACAUGUGGGUCUGUUGCAGGCUUAGAAAAUUAUAUGCCAUACAAAUCGCAUGUGCCCCUCGUUGUCUUAGCCUUCGCUCGCUCGUGGAAAAAUAUCUCCGUGGGCCUUUGAUUCUCAAAAGCUACCUUUUUGUGAUUCUCAAAACAUGGUAUAAAUAA